rnacentral:rRNA from 2 species
GGGGAAUAUUGCACAAUGGGGGAAACCCUGAUGCAGCGAUGCCGCGUGGAGGAAGAAGGUUUUCGGAUUGUAAACUCCUGUUGAAGAGGACGAUAAUGACGGUACUCUUUUAGAAAGCUCCGGCUAACUACGUGCCAGCAGCCGCGGUAAUACGUAGGGAGCGAGCGUUGUCCGGAAUUACUGGGUGUAAAGGGAGCGUAGGCGGGAUGGCAAGUCAGAUGUGAAAUCUAUGGGCUCAACCCAUAAACUGCAUUUGAAACUGUAGAGCUUGAGUGAAGUAGAGGCAGGCGGAAUUCCCCGUGUAGCGGUGAAAUGCGUAGAGAUGGGGAGGAACACCAGUGGCGAAGGCGGCCUGCUGGGCUUUAACUGACGCUGAGGCACGAAAGCGUGGGUAGCAAACAGGAUUAGAUACCCUGGUAGUCCACGCUGUAAACGAUGAUUACUAGGUGUGGGGGGUCUGACCCCUUCCGUGCCGGAGUUAACACAAUAAGUAAUCCACCUGGGGAGUACGGCCGCAAGGUUGAAACUCAAAGGAAUUGACGGGGGCCCGCACAAGCAGUGGAGUAUGUGGUUUAAUUCGAAGCAACGCGAAGAACCUUACCAGGUCUUGACAUCCAACUAACGAAGUAGAGAUACAUUAGGUGCCCUUCGGGGAAAGUUGAGACAGGUGGUGCAUGGUUGUCGUCAGCUCGUGUCGUGAGAUGUUGGGUUAAGUCCCGCAACGAGCGCAACCCUUGCUAUUAGUUGCUACGCAAGAGCACUCUAAUAGGACUGCCGUUGACAAAACGGAGGAAGGUGGGGACGACGUCAAAUCAUCAUGCCCCUUAUGACCUGGGCUACACACGUACUACAAUGGAUGUUAACAGAGGGAAGCAAGACAGCGAUGUGGAGCAAACCCCUAAAAACAUUCUCAGUUCAGAUUGCAGGCUGCAACCCGCCUGCAUGAAGAUGGAAUUGCUAGUAAUCGCGGAUCAGCAUGCCGCGGUGAAUACGUUCCCG